CCUACGGGGGGCUGCAGUGGGGAAUAUUGGACAAUGGGCGCAAGCCUGAUCCAGCCACGCCGCGUGAGUGAUGAAGGCCUUCGGGUCGUAAAGCUCUGUGGGGAGGGACGAACGGCGCCAUGAAGAGUGGCGAUUGACGGUACCUCCUUAGCAAGCACCGGCUAACUUCGUGCCAGCAGCCGCGGUAAUACGAAGGGUGCAAACGUUGCUCGGAAUCAUUGGGCGUAAAGCGCACGUAGGCGGCUUCAUAAGUCGGAUGUGAAAUCCCUCGGCUUAACCGAGGACGUGCAUCCGAAACUGUGAGGCUUGAGUAUGGAAGAGGGUCGCAGAAUUCCCGGUGUAGAGGUGAAAUUCGUAGAUAUCGGGAGGAAUACCAGUGGCGAAGGCGGCGACCUGGGCCAAUACUGACGCUGAGGUGCGAAAGCGUGGGGAGCAAACAGGAUUAGAUACCCCGGUAGUC
rnacentral:rRNA from 1 species